UGCAAGAAUGUAACAACCCGUUUGGUCUAAAAAAUGAGGGUUCGUCAUUGUUUCGACAAACUGGGGUUCGCUAGUUAAGUUACGAAUUAGGGAUUUGCCAAAUGGAAUUCAACAAAGGGUUUGUUAAGAUAGUAUCAGUAAGGAGUUGCCAGAAAUCAGGUGAAGUAAUAUACACCAAAAGAUGCGGUAAGAGGGUUCGCCAGUUUCAUUGCAAGUUAUGUUCACCAAUUGAGUUGCGAACUGAGGGUUCACCAGUCAAAGUCGAGUCAGACUAAAAAU
rnacentral:lncRNA from 1 species